rnacentral:rRNA from 1 species
CAAAGAAUNNUCGGCACGAGGCAUAUNGCUUGUCUCAAAGAUUAAGCCAUGCAAGUGUAAGUACACACGGACUGUACAGUGAAACUGCGAAUGGCUCAUUAAAUCAGUUAUGGUCCCUUUGAUCGCUCUCACGUUACUUGGAUAACUGUGGCAAUUCUAGAGCUAAUACAUGCAAACGAGCGCUGACCCUCCGGGGGAUGCGUGCAUUUAUCAGAUCCAAAACCCAUGCGGGGAGCCCCUCCGGGGGUGCCCCCGGACCCCUUUGGUGACUCUGGAUAACCUCGAGCCGAUCGCUGGCCCCCCGCGGCGGCGACGUCUCUUUCGAAUGUCUGCCCUAUCAACUUUCGAUGGUACUUUCCGUGCCUACCAUGGUGACAACGGGUAACGGGGAAUCAGGGUUCGAUUCCGGAGAGGGAGCCUGAGAAACGGCUACCACAUCCAAGGAAGGCAGCAGGCGCGCAAAUUACCCACUCCCGACUCGGGGAGGUAGUGACGAAAAAUAACAAUACAGGACUCUUUCGAGGCCCUGUAAUUGGAAUGGGUGCACUUUAAAUCCUUUGACGAGGAUCCAUUGGAGGGCAAGUCUGGUGCCAGCAGCCGCGGUAAUUCCAGCUCCAAUAGCGUAUAUUAACGUUGCUGUAGUUAAAAAGCUCGUAGUUGGACCUCGGGGUCCGGCUGGCGGUCCGCCGCGAGGCGUGCCACCGCCUGCCCGGGCCCCUGCCUCUCGGCCGCCCCCGGGAUGCUCUUGACUGAGUGUCCCGCCCGGNGCCCGAAGCGUUUACUUUGAAAAAAUCAGAGUGUUCAAAGCANGCCCGGUCGCCUGAAUACCGCAGCUAGGAAUGAUGGAAUAGGACUCCGGUCCCUAUUUGUGGGUUUAUCCUCCGGCUCCGUCUGGAGGCAAAUCCUCUGAUUUCCUGAGUCUNCAUGGACUUUGCAGGACAGUUUUUAUAUGAGAAAGCGAGAGAAGAAAAAUCACUUUUUUUUUCUGCUGAAUUGUACAACACUUUCAAAUGAAUCAGUGGUUAUGGUGCUCCAUCAUGAAAGAUGAUUUGAUCCUAUUGAGGGAAAAGAAACAAUGUUUUUAGUUUUUUCCAANCGGCUUUGGGCAAA